GGGGAUUUAGCUCAGUGGUAGAGCGCUUGCCUAGCAAGCACAAGGCCCUGGGUUCAGUCCCCG
rnacentral:tRNA from 1 species